UAGAACUGCGGAAGGAUCAUUGUCGAAACCUGCGAGGCAGACCCGCGAACGCGUGCCCUAACGCCGGCGACGCGGCCCCGGCCGCGGCGCCCGCCCCCCGCGCCACGCGGGGGGCCAACGAACCCCGGCGCGGAACGCGCCAAGGAAAACCGAAACGAAGCGCGCCCCCCUCCCCCGUCCGCGGGGGAGGCGCCGCGCCUCACACGUUAUGUGUCAAAACGACUCUCGGCAACGGAUAUCUCGGCUCUCGCAUCGAUGAAGAACGUAGCGAAAUGCGAUACUUGGUGUGAAUUGCAGAAUCCCGUGAACCAUCGAGUCUUUGAACGCAAGUUGCGCCCGAAGCCUUCGGGCCGAGGGCACGCCUGCCUGGGCGUCACGCAUCGCGUCGCCCCCCCCCRGGGGGUGGAGACUGGCCUCCCGUGCGCCCCCGUCGCGCGGCCGGCCCAAAUGCGAUCCCCCGGCGGCGCCCGUCGCGACCAGUGGUGGUUGAACUGUGCUCAACUCGCGUGCUGUCAGUCGUGCGGAGCGGCGUCGUCCGGCCAGGGCAUCACCCGGAACGACCCAAUCGGCGCCUCGGCGCUUCCGACCGCGACCCCAGGUCAGGCGGGAUUACCCG
rnacentral:rRNA from 1 species